rnacentral:rRNA from 1 species
AGUGAACGCUGGCGGUAGGCCUAACACAUGCAAGUCGAACGGCAGCACAGGAGAGCUUGCUCUCUGGGUGGCGAGUGGCGGACGGGUGAGGAAUACAUCGGAAUCUACUCUGUCGUGGGGGAUAACGUAGGGAAACUUACGCUAAUACCGCAUACGACCUACGGGUGAAAGCAGGGGACCUUCGGGCCUUGCGCGAUUGAAUGAGCCGAUGUCGGAUUAGCUAGUUGGUGGGGUAAAGGCCCACCAAGGCGACGAUCCGUAGCUGGUCUGGGAGGAUGAUCAGCCACACUGGAACUGAGAAACGGUCCAGACUCCUACGGGAGGCAGCAGUGGGGAAUAUUGGACAAUGGGCGCAAGCCUGAUCCAGCCAUACCGCGUGGGUGAAGAAGGCCUUCGGGUUGUAAAGCCCUUUUGUUGGGAAAGAAAUCCAGCUGGCUAAUACCCGGUUGGGAUGACGGUACCCAAAGAAUAAGCACCGGCUAACUUCGUGCCAGCAGCCGCAGUAA